GACAGAGAGAGAGAGACAGAGAGACAGAGAGAGAGAGAGAGAGAGAGAGAGAGAGAGACCUCCGGUUCACAGCGCGUGGAGGUCUGCGGGAGCUCCAGGACCAGGAACCAUCUCUAGCUGCGCCUGGCAUGUGUUCCACCUGCCGCUAUCACAAGAGGCUGCAGGGCUUUCACCACAACUGAAUGAUGUGCUGUCCUGACGUCUCUCUCAAAGCCAGGGGGACUGACGUGGCGUCAGAGAUUCUCUCUGGAUCAGCCCCUGAGAGCUGUAGAAUCCACCCAGGAAGAUGCAUGGCCUCAGGAGGGCCUCAGGAGGGCCUCAGGGGGAGCAGCUCUAGACAGCUCUGAUUUCUGGUGGGGCGGGACAGCUGGUGUUGUGAAUCAGGCCGCUAUAGUGCCAGGCACGGCUUCUUCCCAACACCAGGGUCACACCCCACUGUCCGCAGCACCGGAGCCCAUCCAGCUCCCUCGCCGGCAGCAAGGCACAGUAUCAGAUCACAGGAGGACAGAUCAAAAUGCAUGCCGAGACUGGUGGAGGAUGAGUGUCUUUCAAACAGACUAGUCGAGGCUAAUUAAAAAUAAACUCAUUAUCUCACUGUGUGUCUGGGGCAUAACAGGAGCAUUUGAGCAUGGGUCAGAAACAUAACCACCAUUGUUAAAUUCUCAAUUGUGAUUAAAGUAGAGUUGUAUUGUACUGACUUGACCUAUGGCUGCUUCUGCAUGUCUGCACGCUAGGACUAUUAUUCAACAUCAAUGAACUAUCAGAGCAUAAGACAGUAAAACUAGAGAGAGGACAGUGCCUCUCUAAACAAGUGUGAUGGGAAUAGCAUUAAUUUAAUAAUAAAUCAUAGUGGAAUGUGUUACUGUUGAUAUAAAAGCAUGACAAAUGAAAGGCUGGGUGUAUUCCAUUGUCUGGGAUGAAAUUGAAAAUGGAUUUUGAUGUUAGUCUCAGUCUUAGUAUCGGUAUGGUUUGGUGGCUUCACUGUGUGCUGCUUUUAUUUCGUAAUUAACUUAUCAAAGGAUUUUUUAUUUUGUUAUUCGUUACAGAACGAAUUGUAUGUUUUCAGUGUGUGGUGGUAGCUUGUGAAAGUGUUUAAUACAAUUGUAAAUUCGUUUUUGUAUCAUUAUUUCAAUAAUAAAGUAGGAUACAU